rnacentral:tRNA from 3 species
GCCGCCGUGGUGGAAUGGUAGACACGGGGGACUUAAAAUCCCCUGCCCGCUUAAGGGCGUACUGGUUCAAAUCCAGUCGGCGGCACCA